GAAUAAGAUAUUUUACUUUGCAAAUCAUGUGUAGGCUAAUAAUCCAUCUUUAUAUGUUCUCUAAUUAAUAUACUGCACUAAUAUACCAAAAAAUACUGUUCAGCACACAUUUUCCCAUUUUGGCUCGAUUUUGUUAUAUUCACCUGGGGCCGGUUGUUCAAAAGCCGAACUUUGAACAAAGCCCAGCUUUGAACAACGCAGUUUUAACUCAGGGUUAACUAACCCUAGGUUAAGGAUUUUAACCCAGGGUUAGUGCUAACCCCGGGUUAAAGUUAACCAGCUUUUGAACAACCGGCCCCUGUAUAUAGUUGAAUACGUCAAAUUUGACCAAUCACCUUGUAGGAUUUGUUAUGUUCACUUGUGCAAAAAUACUAAUCCACGAUAAUCACCGAGCCUGAGGCGAAUAAUUGUUUUAGUGUUUUGCACAAGUUUUUUUGUGUUUUUCUGGUCUGAAUUCAUUUUAAUUUCGCGCAUUUCUUUAUCACUAACUUCAACAAAACGGCUAGCCGCCAUUUUGACUGAAAAUUUCGAUUUUGUUAUAUUCACCUGUAGGUGCAUGAAUUAAUAUAACAGAUCAGUAAUACGUCAAAUUUGAUCAAUCACCUUGUAGGAUUUGUUAUGUUCACUUGUGCAAAA